CCUACGGGAGGCAGCAGUGAGGAAUAUUGGUCAAUGGGCGGGAGCCUGAACCAGCCAAGUAGCGUGAAGGAAGAAGGUACUUAGUGUUGUAAACUUCUUUUGUCGGGGAACAAAGGCGGAGACGCGUCUCCGGAUGAGUGUACCCGAAGAAAAAGCAUCGGCUAACUCCGUGCCAGCAGCCGCGGUAAUACGGAGGAUUCGAGCGUUAUCCGGAUUUAUUGGGUUUAAAGGGUGCGCAGGCGGGGGGUUAAGUCAGCGGUGAAAAGUUGGGGCUCAACCCCCGGACUGCCGUUGAAACUGGUUGUCUAGAGUUGGAGAGAGGUAUGCGGAAUUCGUGGUGUAGCGGUGAAAUGCAUAGAUAUCACGAAGAACUCCGAUUGCGAAGGCAGCAUACCAGCUCCACACUGACGCUGAGGCACGAAAGCGUGGGGAUCGAACAGGAUUAGAUACCCCGGUAGUC
rnacentral:rRNA from 1 species